UACGGAGGGUGCGAGCGUUGUCCGGAAUCACUGGGCGUAAAGGGCGCGUAGGCGGCUGGGGAAGUCGGCGGUGAAAGCCCGGAGCUCAACUCCGGGUCGGCCGUCGAGACUCCUCGGCUCGAGCUCACUAGAGGCAGAUUGGAAUUCCGGGGUGUAGCGGUGGAAUGCGUAGAGAUCCGGAAGAACACCGGUGGCGAAAGGCGGUCUGUGGGGGUAGG
rnacentral:rRNA from 1 species